AUUGAGUCUACAUUCAUCUAAGGCAUAGAAAAACCAAAAA
rnacentral:sRNA from 1 species